ACAAACGCUGGCGGCGUGCCUAACACAUGCAAGUCGUACGAGAAAGUUCGCUUCGGCGAAUGAGUAAAGUGGCGGCACGGGUGAGUAACGCGUGGAUAAUCUGCCCUUAAGUUGGGAAUAACUCAUCGAAAGGUGGGCUAAUACCUAAUAACACUGCUUUCACUGCGGUGUAACAGUCAAAGAAGGCCUCUGUUUACAAGCUUUCACUGAAGGAUGAGUCCGCGUACCAUUAGCUAGUUGGUAGGGUAAUUGCCUACCAAGGCGACGAUGGUUAGCUGGUCUGAGAGGAUGAUCAGCCACACUGGAACUGAGACACGGUCCAGACUCCUACGGGAGGCAGCAGUGAGGAAUCUUGCGCAAUGGGGGAAACCCUGACGCAGCAACGCCGCGUGAAGUGAGGAAGGUUUUCGGAUCGUAAAGCUCUGUCAGGUGGGAAGAAAUGUAUAGAAGUAAAUAGCCUCUAUACUUGACGGUACCGCCAAAGGAAGCACCGGCUAACUCCGUGCCAGCCGCCGC
rnacentral:rRNA from 1 species